GUAUCUCCAAGGCAGCCUUCCUGCAGCGACCUCCAUUGUCCCAAGGGAACUACGUGUAAGACGGUGGAUGGACAUCCCCAAUGUGUCCAUGACCAGCCCACCUGCAGUGACAUCCAGUGCUCCAAGGGAACCACGUGCCAGAUGGUGGAUGGUUGGCCACGCUGCAUCCAACUCAAGGUGGCCCCAAGGAGACCUUCCUGCAGUGACCUCCACUGCCCUAAAGGAACCACGUGUAAGAUGGUGGAUGGACAUCCCCAGUGCGUCCAAAAUCAACCUACCUGCAGUGACAUCCAGUGCCAGAAGGGAACCACGUGCCAGAUGUUGGAUGGUUGGCCACGUUGCAUCCAACUCAAGGUAUCUCCAAGGAAGCCUUCCUGCAGUGACCUUCACUGCCCUAAAGGAACCACGUGUAAGAUGAUAGAUGGACAUCCCCAAUGUGUCCAUGACCAGCCCACCUGCAGUGACAUCCAGUGCCAGAAGGGAACCACGUGCCAGAUGGUGGAUGGUUGGCCACGCUGCAUCCAACUCAAGGUAUCUCCAAGGCAGCCUUCCUGCAGUGACCUCCAUUGUCCCAAGGGAACUACUUGUAAGAUGAUAGAUGGACAUCCCCAGUGUGUCCAAAAUCAACCUACCUGCAGUGACAUCCAGUGCCAGAAAGGAACCACGUGCCAGAUGGUGGAUGGUUGGCCACGCUGCGUCCAACUCAAGGUAUCUCCAAGGAGACCUUCCUGCAGUGACCUCCACUGCCCUAAAGGAACCACGUGUAAAAUGAUGGAUGGACAUCCCCAGUGUGUCCAAAACCAGCCCACCUGCAGUGACAUCCAGUGCUCCAAGGGAACCACGUGCCAGAUGGUGGAUGGUUGGCCACGGUGUGUCCAACUCAAAGU
ensembl:lncRNA